GGGCGGUUAGCUCAGUGGUAGAGCGUCUGCCUUACAAGCAGAGGGUCACAGGUUCAAGUCCUGUACCGCCCA
rnacentral:tRNA from 1 species